GUUUUGAAACAGUGGCAGUAUCGUAGCCAAUGAGGUUUAUCCGAGGCGCGAUUAUUGCUAAUUGAAAUGGAUAAGGAAAAGAAUGAUUAGAUUCUGGAUAUACUCUUUUUUUUUUUUUUUAAGAUUUUAUUUUUAAA